UCAUUCUCAAAACUUUUGGCCACGACUUGUUGUAUUCGGUGCAUGUGACAAAUACAAUUUGAUUUCAUAUAAAUGAUGAGCAACUGAACUCCAAUGGUGACUCUCUUGGCCAACCAAGUCGGGAGGACUCUAAAAAUAAGAUGUUUUGUGAAAACGUAAGUGGACCAGAAAGAAGACAGAAGCAUGUGUCAUCUGCAACUUUACAGGGGAACAGUGAACAAGAAGAGGAUCAACCACAAUGUAUCGAUAGCCCGAGGGCUUGCUUGGUGGAAGGACCAGUCCCUUGUUGGAGAGGAUUCAAGAGGAGAGGAUAUGAAGGAAGAGACAAUACCACAGUGUGAAAGUUAACAAGACAAACAAAUUGGUGGAUCAAUUCAUUCAAGACCUGAAUGAGAUAAAUGACAUUCCCUUCUUUGACGUCGAGUCGCCCUAUGAGUUAGCCCCGAAUAUCUUCCAAUAUCUCAGACGGACAGAGUUGGGAUGAUGUACUCAGGUUCCACGGCGUGGGCCGUCCUGGCGGAGGAUGAUGUGUUGUCAUUUAGGAUGUGUCUGGAGAAUGGUUAUCACCACGGUACCGCUGUCUCUGACUCCCCCUGUUGGAAGAACACACUACGAGACUGCAGGAACUCUGAGAACACUGUGCGCUCCAACUGGGAGAAUCGUGUUGGAUCAAUCAGCUAACUGCAGUAUGACCUUUGAGACGGUGCUGUGUGACAUCAGUUCCUGUGACAGCUAUGUUGUUGCCGAUGUACACAUCAGGGGAUGUGAGAUUGUGGGACACCCUCCACUAGGACUCUGCACCCCCCUUCCUGAGGCCCACUUCCUGAGGCCCAGCCCCCUUGACUGCAGACCUCACAUCAGUCACGUCUGGUGUGGCUUCCUAUGGCCAUGGUGAGAGGGUGUCCUCAACUCUCCAGUCAACUUAAUGGCUAUUCCACUGGCUAGCCUUUUCUGGGAAUUGUACAGAAAACAUUUUGCUUUCACAAGACUUGGAAAUAACAGUUUCAGGGUGUGAUUAGCAAGACACACAUUCCACAUUAGCAAGCUAGCUGGGCAAAAGGUUCCACGUGACUCUGGCUGCUGCAUCUGGUACUCUGGUCUUGGAUCUUGGACCUGCUACUCAUGCAAGUCCAGGAUUAGUUUCAGCCAGAGUUUGUUUGUGUUUCACACAUGAUUUGCAGCACAUAGCAGGGUUCCAGAUCCCUGGGAGGGUCCACACACCCUGGCUCUGAGCCUGGAGAGCCCCACCUUAGCUGCUGGGCUAGACGUCCGGCUGGACCAGCCUGAUGACGGGCUACUGGAGGACCCUCUGCCAGGCCACGCUGCCCAAACCUGUGUCUCUCUCAAUUCAAUUCAAUUCAAUUUCAAUUCAAAGGGCUUUAUUGGCAUGGGAAACAUAUGAUUACAUUGUCUCUAUUUCUCUCACUCUUUCUCUCUCUCUCUCUCUCUCUCUCUCUCUCUCUGUCUGUCUCUCUCAGCUUGAUCAUUUGAAAGAGGUUUAUGAUAGAAUCCCCUGAUGCAAUGAUACGGUGUCUACAUUGAUCCAGUCUGCUGUUGUGAUUUCUCAUAUUUGAAUUCCUCUAUCUGUCACAGUCAAUCCAUUAUAUACCAUAUUAGUUAAUUAGCAGUGCAACUGGACUUUUCAUAUGUGAGGUACUUUACUGUCACAUGGAGUGAGAAGUCUAAUCAGCAGGCUGAAUAAAGUAUUCACUUUUCUAACAGUGGCUCUGGUCGCAGGAGGAGUCUAUGGUCCUAGUACCAGGGGCUGAGGGGAGUAGACAGUAGCCCCACGGUGACCCUCUCUGCUGGGGAGACAGUGUACCUGCUGGCCCCUGAGGACCUGGAGCCCCGGGUGCUCCAUACCAUCUACGGCCUCCCAAUCAUCUGUCUGGACGCCUCACUGACACACGCUGCCCUGGGGGUCAAGAACUGUGGCUGGGACAUGAACGAUGGAGGCAAGGGUGAGGGUGUUUUACCUGCGCACCGGCUCCUCUGUGACAUCACUGUACGCCCACCACAUGGGCGUGACCUCCGUGCAGGCAGACGAUUGGAAGAUUGUGAGCGGCUGCGGCGAGGGAUUGGUCUGCUUCUGGGAGAUGAGGAUGGGAGCCAACCUGUGGAAGGCACCCAGUCAGACACGUCCGGUUCAACACUAGCUCCCUGAUGACCACCAACCUCCCAGACAAAAGUCUCCACGAGGGGCCUGCAUCACAGACGAUGACCUCACAGCCUACUGCAGACACAGGGAAGUGAUCUGCCACAAGGACUUCUCUGAAGACUCUUCCUCCCAGGACCAUGUUCUGCCCAUCUGCAGUUCUCACUACGUAGAGUCAUCUGGUUACAACAUCGGCCGUUCCCUAUGACAUCCUGUCUUGCUCUUACCCUUCCUACUGACCCACGUACACAAUCUACAACCAGGACUUUUAUACACUGGCUCCACUGGCACUGGUACAGAGUCAAUGUGCGGGGGCACCGGUACAGAGUCAAUGUGCGGGGACACCGGUUAGUUGAGGUGUUUGAGGUAGUAUGUACAUGUAGGUAGCGUUAAGUGACUAUGCAUAGAUAAGAAGAUUGAAUGCUGUGCUCACUGUUGUUUCAUCAGUGUUCAGUCUGGUUUAACCAGGAUAUGGGGUCUGUACAAAUCAAACCAGCUUUUAGAAAUCUGUUAGAUUUUCCAAACUGAAUUCAUUUUUAAAUUUUGUUUGUGAAGGUAGUAGUCCGUAUUUAUUUUUAAAGAACCUCAUGUUUCCUCAUAAAGGUGUAAAUGUACAUUCAAAGCAUUGGUUUUGCUAUCCACAUUUUGUACAGUGAAUUGUUUAAUUGAACUUAUGAUGUAAAAUAAAUGAAUUCAGAAUAAAUGCAUUGUCAUGAUGGGAUUAUAUUUUUUUAUAAAGAGAUAU